GGACCCGCACAAGUAGUGGAGCAUGUGGUUUAAUUCGAAGAUACGCGCAGAACCUUACCAACACUUGACAUGUUCGUCGCGACUCUAAGAGAUUAGAGUUUUCGGUUCGGCCGGACGAAACACAGGUGCUGCAUGGCUGUCGUCAGCUCGUGUCGUGAGAUGUUGGGUUAAGUCCCGCAACGAGCGCAACCCUCACUUUUAGUUGCCAUCAUUAAGUUGGGCACUCUGAAAGAACUGCCAGUGAUAAGCUGGAGGAAGGUGGGGAUGACGUCAAGUCCUCAUGGCCCUUACGUGUUGGGCUACACACGUGCUACAAUGGGGAAUACAGACGGACGCUAAGCCGCGAGUGGUGCU
rnacentral:rRNA from 1 species